CGCGUAGGCGGUUGGGGAAGUCCGUGGUGAAAGCUCGUGGCUCAACUACGAGUCGGCCAUGGAUACUCCUUGACUUGAGCACUGUAGAGGCAGGUGGAAUUCCGGGUGUAGCGGUGGAAUGCGUAGAGAUCCGGAAGAACACCGGUGGCGAAGGCGGCCUGCUGGGCAGUAGCUGACGCUGAGGCGCGACAGCGUGGGGAGACAAACGA
rnacentral:rRNA from 1 species